GCCUAGUUAGCUUGGAAGGUAGCGCGUCUGCCUUGUAAGCGUUAGGCCGCGGGUUCGAUUCCCGCCCGGGGCG
rnacentral:tRNA from 1 species